GGAGGUCAUUUUGCAGGGCUCUGGCAGUGCACCUCCUUGCACUAAGGCGGAGGUACCGGUCCUGCUGCUGGGUUGUUGCCCUCCUACGGCCUCCUCCACGUCUCCUGAUGUACUGGCCUGUCUCCUGGUAGCGCCUGCAUGCUCUGGACACUACGCUGACAGACACAGCAAACCUUUUUGCCACAGUUCGCAUUGAUGUGCCAUCCUGGAUGAACUGCACUACCUGAGCCACUUGUGUGGGUUGUAGACUCCGUCUCAUGCUACCACUAGAGUGAGAGCACCGCCAGCAUUCAAAAGUGACCAAAACAUCAGCCAGGAAGCAUAGGAACUGAGAAGUGGUCUGUGGUCACCACCUGCAGAAUCACUCCUGUUUUGGGGGGUGUCUUGCUAAUUGCCUAUAAUUUCCACCUUUUGUCUAUUCCAUUUGCACAACAGCAUGUGAAAUUUAUUGUCAAUCAGUGUUGCUUCCUAAGUGGACAGUUUGAUUUCACAGAAGUGUGAUUGACUUGGAGUUACAUUGUGUUGUUUAAGUGUUCCCUUUAUUUUUUUGAGCAGUGUAUAACAAACUGACUUUUUGGAAAGGUGGCAUCCUAUGACGGUGCCACAUAUGGAAAGUCACUGAGCUCUUCAGUAAGGCCAUUCUACUGCCAAUGUUUGUCUAUGGAGAUUGCAUGGCUGUGUGCUUGAAAUAGACAAAUCAUUAAGGUUUUUGGACCAUUAUUUCAAGCAAAACACAUUAAUAAAUGUGGUCUCAAAUAUUCAACAUUAAGGAAGUUAUAAGUUACAGUAUAAUAAAUAUCUUAGUUUUUUUCAGUGGAUGACCCCUCAUUUUGAAUGACUUAAAAAUGUCGGGAAAAGGGGAGAUAGUUUGUUACAGAAGACUGGUAAUUUGUUUGAAGCCGUAACUAUGCGGCAGAGUGCGAAGUAGGUACAUGUCCUUCUUGUUUCUGUAUUGGGUGACGGGACCAUAGCUCAUCAUGUGGAGUAUCAUGAUUUGUGGAUUCUUGUUCUUGACAUCUCUUAGGACAGACUCCAGGUGAGCCCAUACUGCUCUCUCAUCAUGUCUAAGAGAGUCAGAUAUGGUGGCGUAGGACUGGCUUCCCUUCGAUCGUAGACUGCUGUCUUCUCCCCCCAAAGUAGAACGCCUGGGUUUCUGUGGCUAAUUUGCAAGUGAAGACUUGUUCCAUGUGUGAGAACAAAACAGGCUACUGCUCAAGAGCAUGGCCCCUCUCCCAGUGCUUGCUGGGAAGGAGGAGUUCAAAAGCAAGGCCGACCACUUACUUGAGACGUUCUACCCCAUCUUUCCCACCAUCUACCUGCAGAGUGUCCAGGUCUACUAGGAGCAGAACCAUAAAGAUUCCUCCAGGUCUGUCGGGGUACAAGUCUAAAACGUUCCAGAAGUUCCUGUCCCUUUAUCUGAAUGGAGCUGUGUGAGCUGCAAAAAUCCGCGCCUGAAUAACACUAAUAACCUUCCCAUUUCUACUGUCAAUACUGUCAUAUCUGAAAAUAAAGAGACCCUAGAUAAUCUAUCUAUCCAUCAUAGUCAAACGUUUGAUUGUGUUUCUCUA